AUCUGAUUGGUUGCUAUGGGCAACUCAGCAACUUUUACUUUGCACAGGUUUUGAUAAAUCUCCCCCUAUGUGUACUCUUUCAUCUCUUCCCCAGAUUGGAAAAAGGUGCCCUAGGAUUCGGUGGACCAUUCUCAUUUUCCUCUAAGAGCGAGAUCUCACCAUUAAGAUCGACAGUGGCAGCUGCAUUCAAACAUCUAUCUUUUAUAAAGAAACAGCAGUCAACAGUCUCCUGGAAUGGGGGAGUUGGCAUCCAAAACCUUUAAAGUGAGGAAUAUCGGUAGGACAAUUCCUUAGGAUCAGGCGGAAUUGCUUCGAGGAACGGAGUGAAAUGCAGAACCGAAGGUUAUUCGAUGCAUUGGCACCUUUGACAAUAAGUCAGACCAAGUCAUGAAUAUCAUGAGGAGGUACUGGCCGAUUCUUAGAGCAGAUGAGGACUUGAAAACAGUGUUAAACACUUAUCCGAGCAUUACAUAUCGGAGGGGUUCUAACUUGAGACCUAGUGGUUCACAGCCACUUUAACAAACAGAAAAAAGAUGCAUGGCUAAAAAAUUCGAACAUGGGCACCUGCCCUUGUGGACAAUGCUCUUUCCGCUCAUUUGUCACUCGGCGGAGAGAGUUUACAAAUCCAACAGACAGUCGGAUAUACAAACUAUAUGACUUUAUCAAUUGCAAGUGUGUGGGGAUUGUGUAUGUUUGCGCAUGCCCAAAAUUAUACGUGGGUAAAACCCGCCAGGAAUUCAGACGUCGGAUUUCGAAACAUCUUAGCGGUAUCAGAACGGGCGCAGAUACCCCUAUAGCUCGGCACGUUCGAGAUAUACAUAAAAAUAGUUUACGAUUUUGGGGGCUGAGACAGAUCAAAAUGGGACAAGGUGGAAAUUUUGAAAAUAUCCUCCUGAAAGUGGAGUCCAAAUGGAUUUUUCGCCUAAAAACCCUGAAUCCACAUAGCCUAAAUGAGGGCUUUAAAGGGGUAUUCCAGGCCAAAACUUUUUUGUAUAUUUCAACUGGGUCCGGAAAGUUAAACAGGUUUUUAAAUUACUUCUAUUAAAAAAUUCUUAAUCCUUCCAAUAGUUAUUAGCUUCUGGAAUACCCCUUUAAUUAUAUGGCCUUUAUCUAAUAAGGCCCUGUGAAUAAGGGGAUGGGAACAGUAUCCUGUUGGUUUGGAAAAUGUCCGAGUAAUAAACAAAUAUCUAUUCGACUGUUCACCUAUA